rnacentral:sRNA from 1 species
GAUGUUGCAGACAACCCACUCCUCCUCCCGGGGAAGUCUGCAGGAUCGGCAACACUCCUCCUCCCAGUUGCUGGUCGGUUCUAAUUUGAAAAGCCCGCUGCCACCUCCUCCCGGCUGCGGGCUUUUCUC